AAUACAUGGUGGGGGCAGUCUUGCUGGUAGCCUUUGAAUCUCACCCAAGAGGCUUUAAAAGCUUCAGCAGUGCCUUGAGAAAAAUUAUAGAUAUUAUUCCUUAAUUCU